rnacentral:rRNA from 1 species
CACGUAGGGGACGAGCGUUGUCCGGAUUCAUUGGGCGUAAAGCGCGCGUAGGCGGCUCGGAAAGUCGGUCGUGAAAUGCCGGGGCUCAACCCCGGGACUGCGUCCGAUACUCCCGAGCUGGAGGCAGGUAGGGGAGAUCGGAAUUCCGGGUGUAGCGGUGGAAUGCGUAGAGAUCCGGAAGAACACCGGUGGCGAAGGCGGCCUGCUGGGCAGUUUAGCUGACACUGAGGCGCGACAGCGUGGGGAGCAAACAGG